AUACGGAGGGUGCGAGCGUUAAUCGGAAUUACUGGGCGUAAAGCGUACGUAGGCGGUUUGCUAAGUCAGAUGUGAAAGCCCCGGGCUUAACCUGGGAACUGCAUUUGAUACUGGCAGACUAGAGUAUGAUAGAGGGGGGUAGAAUUCCUGGUGUAGCGGUGAAAUGCGUAGAUAUCAGGAGGAAUACCAGUGGCGAAGGCGGCCCCCUGGAUCAAUACUGACGCUGAGGUACGAAAGCGUGGGGAGCAAACAGGAUUAGAAACCCUUGUAGUCC
rnacentral:rRNA from 1 species